UUCGGGUUGUAAAGCUCUUUCUUCGCUGACGAAAGCGGUCGGGUAGCGAGGAGGAAGCAUUGACGUUACCCGCGCAAGAAGCACCGGCUAACUCCGUGCCAGCAGCCGCGGUAAUACAUUAUGGUGCAAGCGUUAAUCGUAAUUACUGGGCGUAAAGCGCUGUGAAAUCGUCUGUCAAGUCCGAUGUGAAAUCCCCGGGCUCAACCUGGGAACUGCAUUGAAAACUGGCCGGCUUUCCUCUUGUAGAGGGGGGUAGAAUUCCGAGUGUAAGGAACAAAUGCGUAGAAAUCUGGAUGAAUACCGGUGGCUAACGCUGACCCCUGGACAAAUACUGACCCUCAGGUGCUAAAUCCUGGGGAGCUCACAGGAUUAGAUACC
rnacentral:rRNA from 1 species